AAAGGAAUUGACGGGGACCCGCACAAGCGGUGGAUCAUGUUCUUUAAUUCGAUGGUAAACGAUAAACCUUACCAGGGCUUGACAUCUAGGGAAGGCCUACGAAAGUAGACUGUGCUUUUAGAACCCUAAGACAGGUGAUGCAUGGCCGUCGUCAGCUCGUGUCGUGAGAUGUUAGGUUAAGUCCUUCAACGAGCGCAACCCUUGUGAACAGUUGUAUUUUUCUGUUCAAACUGCUUCGGUAACGGAGAGGAAGGAGGGGACGAUGUCAGGUCAGUAUUUCCCUUACGUCCUGGGCUAGAAACGUGAUACAAUGGCAAGCACAAUGCGAAGCAAAGCCGCGAGGUGAAGCAAAUCGCAUCAAAACUUGUCCCAGUUCGGAUUGGAGGCUGAAACUCGCCUCCAUGAAGUCGGAAUCGCUAGUAAUCGCAGAUCAGCAUGUUGCGGUGAAUACGUUCCCGGGUCUUGUACACACCGCCCGU
rnacentral:rRNA from 1 species